UGAUACAUAUGCAGCUAGAGUCAAGA
rnacentral:piRNA from 1 species